rnacentral:misc_RNA from 1 species
AACGCACCUUGCGCUCCUUGGUAUUCCGAGGAGCAUGCCUGUUUGAGUGUUGUGCUGUGCCUGCCGGUUCCCUUUGCGGGUGAACAUGGCGACUUGGACGCUUUGCCGGCUUCGGUCGGCUCGUCCUGAAUGCAUCAGCUGGACCUCAUUCGCUCGGUUCGACUCGGCGUGAUAAACAUCUCGUCGUCGAGGACAACCCCGUCAAACGGGUGGCCGGCGCGGAUGAGGCUUCGGCUCUCCAACCGUCUUCGGACAACUUACUUUUGGCUUCAGCCUCAAAUCAGGUAGGACUACCCGCUGAACUUAA